AGCAAACUGAUCACGGAGCAUCAGAACCUCUGUUACAACAGCGAAGGCAACUUAUUACACAAAACCUACAGAAAACAAAAUAAAGAAGAAUAAUGAAGAUUUUUUGGAUACUGCUACUUGUUGCUGGCAUCCAGAUGAUGACCACAGCUGCCCAAACAACCACAACGGGUCCAGUAACAAACACAGCUGCUCCGACAACAACCACAGCUGCUCCAACAACCCCCACAGCUGCUCCAACAACCACAGUUGCUCCAUCAACCACAGCUUCUGUCUCAACCACAGCAGCUGCAAUGACAACUACAGCUGCUCCAACUACAACCACAGCUGCUCCAACAACUACAGCUGCUCCAACAACCACAGCUGCUCCAACAACCCCCACGACUGCUCCAACAACAACAGCUGCUGCAACAACAACCACUGCGGCUGCUCCAACAACCACAGCUGCUGCAACAACCACAGCUAAUCCAACAACCACAGCUGCCCCAACAACCACAGCUGCUCCACCAACCACUGCUGCUGCAACAACGACUACAGCUGCUACAACAACCACAGCUGCUGCAACAACGACAACAGCUGCUCCAACAACCACAGCUGCUGCAACAACAACCACCGCUGCUGC